rnacentral:rRNA from 1 species
UCGAGAGUGGACGGAACGGGUGAAGUUAAUAUAGUACCGGAACGGUCGCCCAGUCGGUGGGGAUAACGUAGACGAAAGUUACGCUAAUACCGCAUACGAUCUACGGAUAGAAGGCGGGGGACCGUAAGGCCUCGCGCGAUUGGAGCGGCCGAUAUCAGAUUAGGUAGUUGGUGGGGUAAAGGCUCACCAAGCCAACGAUCUGUAGCUGGUCUGAGAGGACGACCAGCCACACUGGAACUGAGACACGGCCCAGACUCCUACGGGAGGCAGCAGUGGGGAAUUUUGGACAAUGGGCGAAAGCCUGAUCCAGCCAUGCCGCGUGAGUGAAGAAGGCCUUCGGGUUGUAAAGCUCUUUCGGCUGGGAAGAAAUCGCACAGGCUAAUACUCUGUGUGGAUGACGGUACCAGCACAAGAAGCACCGGCUAACUACGUG